rnacentral:lncRNA from 1 species
CUGCAUACAGAGCUGCAGAAACAAUGACUUUUCUGCAUAAAUAUGGCUAUGAAACCUUUCCUCAUUCCCAAUUAUUCUCUUAAUUUAAUAUCUUCAGAUUUCUCCUUAUUUAGAAAUAUAAAAAAGUUUUUGAUGAUAAGGAAAUCAUUACUGCUGUGGAGAGCUAGUGUUCUUCCAAAUCUGCCAAUUUCUGCAAAGAUGGGUUUAAAUAACUGUUCAAUCAGGUGUGAGAAGUAUGUGGCCCUAGAACGUGAAUAUGUAGAGAAGUAACAUUUAAGGAUCUGAAAUUUGGUCCUCCAACACGUGUCAAAGACUAAAACUUUUUGGCCUCCUUUUAUAUUAUUGGUAUUUCUAAUCAAUGAAAAUUUGCUUGUGCAAUACUGAAUUAUUUUAUUGUGAAAGUGAGGCCCAGAGAAAUAUUUGGGAAA